rnacentral:pre_miRNA from 13 species
UGGAGCAGGGGGGCAGGAGGGGCUCAGGGAGAAAGUGUGUAUAGCCCCUGGCCCUCUCUGCCCUUCCGCCCCCUGUUCUCACAG